ensembl:piRNA 21ur-4302 ncRNA
UUGGUUUGUGAACAUCUCAUG